rnacentral:rRNA from 1 species
GACGAACGCUGGCGGCGUGCUUAACACAUGCAAGUCGAACGGAAAGGCCCUGCUUUUGUGGGGUGCUCGAGUGGCGAACGGGUGAGUAACACGUGAGUAACCUGCCCUUGACUUUGGGAUAACUUCAGGAAACUGGGGCUAAUACCGGAUAGGAGCUCCUGCUGCAUGGUGGGGGUUGGAAAGUUUCGGCGGUUGGGGAUGGACUCGCGGCUUAUGAGCUUGUUGGUGGGGGAGUGGCUUACCAAGGCUUUGACGGGUAGCCGGCCUGGGAGGGUGACCGGCCACAUUGGGCCUGAGAUACGGACCAGAGUCCUACGGGAGGCAGCAGUGGGGAGUAUUGCACAAUGGGCGGAAGCCGGAUGCAGCAACGUCGCGUGCGGGAUGACGGCCUUCGGGUUGUAAACCGCUUUCGCCUGUGACGAAGCGUGAGUGACGGUAAUGGGUAAAGAAGCACCGGCUAACUACGUG